UACAGAGGUGGCAAGCGUUGUUCGGAAUUACUGGGCGUAAAGGGCGCGUAGGCGGCCUACUAAGUCAGACGUGAAAUCCCCCGGCUUAACCUGGGAACUGCGUCUGAUACUGGAAGGCUUGAGUAUGGGAGAGGGAUGUAGAAUUUCAGGUGUAGCGGUGAAAUGCGUAGAUAUCUGAAGGAACAUCAGUGGCGAAAGCGACUUCCUGGACCAAUACUGACGCUCAUGUGCGAAAGCGUGGGGAGCAAACAGG
rnacentral:rRNA from 1 species